rnacentral:rRNA from 1 species
CCUACGGGAGGCAGCAGUGGGGAAUAUUGGACAAUGGGCGCAAGCCUGAUCCAGCCAUACCGCGUGGGUGAAGAAGGCCUUCGGGUUGUAAAGCCCUUUUGUUGGGAAAGAAAAGCAGCCGGUUAAUACCCGGUUGUUCUGACGGUACCCAAAGAAUAAGCACCGGCUAACUUCGUGCCAGCAGCCGCGGUAAUACGAAGGGUGCAAGCGUUACUCGGAAUUACUGGGCGUAAAGCGUGCGUAGGUGGUUGUUUAAGUCUGUCGUGAAAGCCCUGGGCUCAACCUGGGAAUUGCGAUGGAAACUGGGCGACUAGAGUGUGGCAGAGGGUAGUGGAAUUCCUGGUGUAGCAGUGAAAUGCGUAGAGAUCAGGAGGAACAUCCGUGGCGAAGGCGACUGCCUGGGCCAACACUGACACUGAGGCACGAAAGCGUGGGGAGCAAACAGGAUUAGAUACCCUGGUAGUCCACGCCCUAAACGAUGCGAACUGGAUGUUGGGUGCAAUUUGGCACGCAGUAUCGAAGCUAACGCGUUAAGUUCGCCGCCUGGGGAGUACGG